UUUAAACUCUGUCUUUUUUGGUGGAAAAAUAAAUAGCAUUUCGUUCUCUGGAUGAAUUACUUCGGACCAGGACAAAUCUGACAACCAAAACAAAAUCCUUGUUUAGGUGUAUUAAAAUGCUUUCCUUUCGGACCAAAUCCAAAGAAAAAUACGACCGCCGCAGUUGCUUCUUGUCCGUCGGCGCAAAUUGCCAGUUGGGAAUGAAAUUGCUUUAAUUUCGAUACUUCCAGAUGGGAUUCUCUACACCUUUCACAAGUUUCGAUUAACGCAAUUCGCGUAACACACGUUUCCUAUGAAUUACGAGGAAUAAAAUGAUCAGGAACAAAAAAUAAUAA